GAUGAACGCUGGCGGCGUGCCUAAUACAUGCAAGUCGAGCGAACAGACGAGGAGCUUGCUCCUCUGACGUUAGCGGCGGGCGGGUGAGUAACACGUGGAUAACCUACCUAUAAGACUGGGAUAACUUCGGGAAACCGGAGCUAAUACCGGAUAAUAUAUUGAACCGCAUGGUUCAAUAGUGAAAGACGGUUUUGCUGUCACUUAUAGAUGGAUCCGCGCCGCAUUAGCUAGUUGGUAAGGUAACGGCUUACCAAGGCAACGAUGCGUAGCCGACCUGAGAGGGUGAUCGGCCCCACUGGAACUGGGACACGGGCCAGACUCCUACGGGAGGCAGCAGUAGGGAAUCUUCCGCAAUGGGCGAAAGCCUGACGGAGCAACGCCGCGUGAGUGAUGAAGGUCUUCGGAUCGUAAAACUCUGUUAUUAGGGAAGAACAAAUGUGUAAGUAACUAUGCACGUCUUGACGGUACCUAAUCAGAAAGCCACGGCUAACUACGUG
rnacentral:rRNA from 1 species